GCGGGGAUAGCUCAGUUGGGAGAGCGUCAGACUGAAGUAAAUUCAGUUCGUAUAUCUGAAGGUCGUGUGUUCGAUCCACACUCACCGCA
rnacentral:tRNA from 1 species